AGGAGAAAGUGCCAGUGAAUCCCUUCAUCAGGCCAUGAGGUGGAUGAGGAAAAAAGGCUCUACCUAUGUGUCUGAGUGGGCUUCGUUUACGCUGAUUGGAGAUGAUGUGAGGCUCGAGUUUCACAAGCAGAGGAAAGAAGAUGAGAAUAGCUUGAAGUAAACAGACCUUAGAGACUUAGCUGGAUAAA